GAGAUAUCCAAUUGAGCGGUCAUGUAAGGUAUGGCUUUGAUGGAGAAGAUUUGAUCAAGCUAGAUGAGUCAGAAGGACAAUGGGUGGUACUGAACCCUAAGGCUCAUAACUUCAAAUUGAUUGUGAACAGUCCUUUCUGGACCGAAGUAAGAAAACGUUAUAAUAAGAGAUAUUGUGUUGGAGCAAUGCAGAAAAUUAUUAGGAAUUCAAACAUGAAAAAGAACGAACCACCUGAGGUAUAUGUGUCCCGCCAAGAUUACCCUGAUGGUACUACUAGGCUUUCCUGUACAGCUACAGGCUUCUACCCACAACCCAUUCUGUUGCACUGGAAGAAGGGUACUGAUGGUGCUAUAUGGGGGAAAGAGAGCUCUAGUGGCACCCUGCCUAAUUCUGAUGACACCUUCUAUCUCCGAAUCAACCUGGAGAUCCAGCCAGGAGACUCUGUAACAGGUUAUGCUUGUGUAGUAGAGCACAGUCAGCUGGAGAGACCAGUUGUGUACCCUGGUAAGUUUCUCAGCUCAUACCCAUUCCUGCCUGCAAAGGCCCAAGCGCUAAAUGCCCACUGGUCAUUCUUCCCAUUGCACCAUGGAGAAAUUACAUCCCCUCCAUCCCAUUAAUUUGUUGGCUCUUCUCCUUUUAUAGUCCCUGAGAAGCCUUACAAGAAGAAUUUUUGGGUUGUUGUCCUGAGCAUCCUUCUAGCAGUCAUUCUGACAGUUGGUUGUCUUGUGGUCUUCAUCAAGUGGAAGAAGAGAAAGUCAGGAAUGUAUUGUUAGGGACAACUUUACAAGCUCAACUUGGACUUUCUUCUUCUUUUGCUUCUCCUGUUAUUCAUCAUCUCCAGUGAAGGAAUUCAUCAACCCUCAACCCUGACACAAGGCCGGCACCAUCUUUCCUGGAAAUCUCCACAUAUUUGUCAGACGGUCAUUUGUUGCACAUCCAACCAUCCUAAUCCUAUCUCUAAGUCUCUAAGUGGCCUUUCUGUAUAGGAGACAGAUCUGGGAUGGGACAUCCUUCAUUAAAUGUGAGACACAUUUUCCUUUGGCAAUGGGAAGAAUGAGAUCCUGGUCACAAGUAGUUCAGUUUAAGUGAUGGAAAAUGUAGAGAAUAAUCAUGGAGAUUGAUUGGAUGGAGAACAAAACUUUCAGAAGUGAAAAGACUGAUAUAUUUAUAUGAAAGAAGAAACUUAGUUCUUUGUUAGGGAAGGAAAUAGAGAGGAUCAUUUCCUCUCCUUCUUUACUGUAAGCAAGCACUUUGGAAGGUUAUUUUUGAAAAGUGUCCAGAUAAGAUCAGCCAUUGUCUUCUCUGGGCACUCCUGUGAGAUGAAGUCAUUGGUUACUUCUUCCAGCAAGAUGAAUGUUCUCUUUGGUUGAGUCUUGGCUUUCUUUUAAAUAGAUUUGUGUUGAUACAUAUAUUUGUAAAACUUUUAGAUUGCCUAGCUUUCUCCCUUUAUCAUUCUAGCCCUCCUUCUCCAAUCACUUCUCCAAGAUGGCCAAGAGCCAUCUCUUAUAAAAGUUUUUUUUUUUUUUAAGGAAAAAAAAAAGUAGGGGCAGCUAGAUGGUCGAGUGGCUCAAGCAAAAUCCAGUCUCAGACACUCAACACUUCCUAACUGUGUCACCUCGGGCAAAUCACUUAACCCAUAUGCCUCAACAAAAAAGGGAAAACAUUAAGUGGAACAAGAGAAGAAAAGUUUCAAAGAAACUGAUCAAUACAGUGAAUGAAAAUCUUACAGUACAAGCAUUCACUCAUGGACAUCCCUACAUCUAUAAAAGACUGGGGGAUCAAUCUUCUCAUUUAUCUUCUCUGGGAGUGUACAUAUUCUUUUCAGUUUCAAUAGUAUUUUAUUUUUCCAAAUACAUGUAAAGAUAGUUUUCGACAUUCAUUUUUGUAAAACUUUGUAUUCUAAUUUUUUCUCCCUUUCUGCUUUACCUUCUCCCUCUCCAAGGCAGCAAACAAUCUGAUAUAGGUUAAAUAUGUGCAGUCCUUUUGAACAUAUUUCCAUAUUUGAAAGUGUGUGCAAUAAAAAUCAGACCAAAAGGGAAAAAAUCCACAAGAAAGAAUGAAUGAAGAAAUAAAAGGUGAAAAUACUAGGCUUUGAUCUCUCUCUGGAUGUGAUCAGCACUUUUCAUCCCAAGUCUGUUGAAAUUGCCUUGAAUCAUUACAUUGGUAAGAAGAGCCAGGUCCGUCACCAUUGAUCAUCAUAUAAUCUUGUUAUUACUGUGUACGAUGUUCUCCUGCUCUUUUUCCCUUCACUAGCAUCAGUUCAUGUAAGUCUUCACAGGCUUUUCUGAAAUCACUCUGCUCCUUAUUUGUUUUAGAACAAUGAUAUUCCAUUACCUUCAUAUACUACAGCUUAUUCAGCUAUUCCCCAACUGAUGGGGAAUUUCCAGUUCUUAGUUACUACAAAAAGAGCAGCUAUUAACAUUUUUACACUUAUAGAUCCUUUCCCCUAUUUUAUUAAUAAUUAUUUUAUUUAUUUAUAUUCCCUAUAUUAUUUUAUUCCCUAUUUUCUUUCCCUAUUUUAUUCCCUUAUUUCUAUAGGCAAUAGACCCUAUUCUGAAAAAAAAAAAUUGGGAUACAGACCUAGUAGUGAGAAUGCUGGAUCAAAAGGUAUUCACAGUUUGAUAAUUCUUUUUAUUGAUCUCCAGAAUGGUUGGAUGAUUUCACAACUCCACCAACAAUGUAUUAAUGUCCCAGUGU